AAAACUGUUACCGCGGAUAUUUCGCGUAACAAAAGCCGGGGCUUACGGUAACGAAGCCCCG
rnacentral:sRNA from 4 species